rnacentral:ncRNA from 2 species
GUUAAAAAGCUCGUAGUU